GCGAUGGCAAAUUUGAGCCCAGCCUGGGCAACAUAAGCUAGGUCUGACUCCAGAGAUGCUGUGCCUUCUUCAGUAGCUGUGGAGGUAUCGACUCUACCACGUUCCAGUUGCGUCAGAUCUUCAUUGUGUAUAUAUCCUCAUUUUAGGACUUCUGGUGUGUUGGUGGGUCUUACCUUGCUCAUCCUGACAGACGGCCUUCAGGAUGCGAUGUCCC